rnacentral:rRNA from 1 species
GACAGAGGGGGCAAGCGUUGCUCGGAAUUACUGGGCGUAAAGGGCGCGUAGGCGGGAUGGCAAGUCGGUCGUGAAAUCCCUCGGCUCAACCGAGGAACGUCGAUCGAUACUGCUGUUCUUGAGGAUUGCAGAGGAGACUGGAAUUCCCGGUGUAGCGGUGAAAUGUGUAGAGAUCGGGAGGAACACCGAUGGCGAAGGCAGGUCUCUGGGCAUUAACUGACGCUGAGGAGCGAAAAGCAUGGGGGAGCGAACAGG